GUGGAUUAGAUACCCUGGUAGUCCUAGCUGUAAACGUUGGGUGCUAGGUGUGGGCGGAUAUCGACCCCGUCCGUGCCGAAUCUAACGCAUUAAGCACCCCGCCUGGGGAGUACGGCCGCAAGGCUAAAACUCAAAGGAAUUGACGGGGCCCCGCACAAGCGGCGGAGCAUGUUGCUUAAUUCGAUGCGACGCGAAGAACCUUACCUGGGCUUGACAUGCAGGGUGAAACCCGUGAAAGCGGGUGCUCUUCGGAGCAUGCACAGGUGGUGCACGGUUGUCGCCAACU
rnacentral:rRNA from 1 species